rnacentral:rRNA from 1 species
AUGCAUAAAUUGCUCAUGCUCUUAGCAAUUUAUCUCAGUCACCCUGUUCAAUUCUUUAAUAACCGGUUCAUACUUCUAAUCUUCAUUAUUCACGAUAUACUGCAGAGAAGCAGCAACCUGUCUGUGGUCUCACCACCACAAUUAUCGGUCAGCGAAUACACUCAACCCUAUUAUGAUGCCCUCACUGCUCCUGUAUCGUCACCCAACUCACAUCUCCUUGUCACCACUGGAUGCCAGAAUUUCUUUUGGCGUGUUGGUAGCCACACUUGGGUGUACUGUUCUCCUCACAUUGCAAAGCUCAAGCAGAUAGUGGUCUUCAAAGGCCAGGUGUGGAUGUGUGGAUGUGUGGAUGUGUGGAUGUGA